GACGUAGGGCGCGAGCGUUGUCCGGAUUUAUUGGGCGUAAAGAGCUCGUAGGCGGUUUGUCGCGUCUGCUGUGAAAACUGGAGGCUCAACCUCCAGCCUGCAGUGGGUACGGGCAGACUAGAGUGCGGUAGGGGAGAUUGGAAUUCCUGGUGUAGCGGUGGAAUGCGCAGAUAUCAGGAGGAACACCCAUAGCGAAGGCAGCUUGCUGGGACGUUACUGACGCUAAGGCGCGAAAGCGUGGGGAGCGAACAGG
rnacentral:rRNA from 1 species